CGUGUAGGCGGUUUGUUAAGUCUGAUGUGAAAGCCCUGGGCUCAACCCAGGAAGUGCAUUGGAAACUGGCAAACUUGAGUACGGGAGAGGAAAGUGGAAUUCCGAGUGUAGGGGUGAAAUCCGUAGAUAUUCGGAGGAACACCAGUGGCGAAGGCGGCUUUCUGGACCGAUACUGACGCUGAGACGCGAAAGCGUGGGGAGCAAACAGGAUUAGAUACCCUGGUAGUCC
rnacentral:rRNA from 1 species